rnacentral:lncRNA from 1 species
UAACCCAGCAACUCCCCGAUUGGGGGAAAUAAAAUUUAAACUCUAGAGAUAAAUGGACUAAUUUGCUGUGAUGCAGAUCAUUCCGUGGGCUAGUCUGUCUCCUGGGGCUGGCAACAAUUGCUAAAAUCCAUAAGCAUGACUGGUGGUAAGAGUCAGUGAGGAAAGCCACAAAGCUCCAUGCUGUCAUGGAUGCUGUUUAUGGGAUGCAACGGUGAGGAUGGGAUGGUUAAUAUCGUCUGUUCCCUCGGAAAACGAAGUGUUGUAAGCGUUGCUGCGUGAAGUCUGCCCUUCCCAGGCUAAAAACUGAGCUUUCUGAAAGGCAAAUGAAUGGUCCCCCUAACCAUGCAGAGAGAGAUUCCACUGAAGCCAAGAGAGAGCCAUGACAUGGACCCGAGAGCCAAAUGUAACAGCAGGACCUAACACUGGAGCUCAGAAGGAAGCAGAAGACACACAGAGGAGCAAGGAGAAAGCACCAAAAGGGGCAGCAGAAUCAAAGGAGGGAGCCCUGCAGGGCACAGCAAGACGCCUGGGGCUGCGGGGUCCGCAAGGUGCACAGGAGAGAGGCUCAGAGAGCUGGGAAGCAGACAGGAAGGAGAGAAGCAGAAACAGGAGGACAUGAAGGAAAACCUCUGUCAAGAAAGGCUGCUGGGGACAAAGAUUUGGAGGAAUGAUUCAGCUCUCUCAAAGAAACACCAAAGAAAGAGCUUCCCCUUCUCCACUCCCUACCUGUCUUCUACAAGAGAGGAAGAGAAGUAGCUCCUCUGCAGGUGAAGAAACUAAAACCUUGAAGUCAAGAGACCUUCCCAAAGUUCACACUGCUAGAAAAGCACAACCAGACCUUCUCACACUGCCACAGUGAACAGAGAGGGUAUGCACACGGUUCAUUAGAGUCCUCCCAGGAUCCCUCCAACCUACCCUCCCAUUGCCAGGUAGUUCUUGGCACUGGCACCUGGAAUUCCAUCAUUAAGUAUAUUGUUGGUCAUAAAGAUUUGUCCCCAGUUAAACUUUGCUAUAAAAAUGGAUAUGUGCAUUUGCUGCCUAUCACUGUCAUAGAAAUGGUAAGUUUCAGAACCCUCCGGGCAACUGAGCUGAGUGCUGCCCUUUAUUAAAGAUGAUGCCUAAUUAAGAGGAAAUUCUGCUGAGGAAGGGGUAGUGCACUACAGAACACACUAGAACUCUGGCACAGUGGAGAAAGGGCAGUAAGCAGGGGAGUAAGAAAAAAGGACCGCCUGAAAGAGAGGGGAGCCGACGCCUAUGUUCUCACAGCUUUAUGAUUUUGCCUAGAGCUGAUCUUUAAUGGACACAUAGCAUUUUGAAAUGUAUGGAAAAUCAGGUUCAAGCUGCUUAGCCCAAAGAUUAAGGCCCCCACCCACCGCCCAGGCUCAUCUACCCCGCUUCCUGUCUCCUAGGCACAUCAUAAGAAUCCUCGAUACUAAUGAAAUGGAUGAUUUUUCAAUCCCUGCAAAACUGCUUCAAUUAUUUCAGCCUGUGUGUCUGAAAUGUUACCACCCUCUGCUCCAGGUCCUCCGUUACCCGUCAGCCCAGCAUCCGGCUUUGCUUCCAUAAACUAGUCUUUAAACCCUGCCCCAACAAGCAAGGAUCCAUCUGCUCCCCUCAACUCUCAGAGCACUCAGCUGUGACCCUGCUCCAACACCAGCCCGCCUGGCCUGAGUCACCAGUGAAACAAACAGGAGAUGCUAUCACCUGAUGACCACUCAGCAAUGAAGUGCUCCAGGGCGCUUCCAUGUAUAUCUUGUCCCUGGAUAUGAUCAAUAGGCUGGAAAGCUAAAAGGAUUUUGCAUUUUUUGGCACCCCCCUUCCACAGAUAAAAACAGAGGUUCUGGGAAGAUACAUGAAUUCCUGGCCUGUAUGUGGAAGAUACUGUCGUUUUUUGUCGAACCGUAAGAAGGCUGUGUCAGCUCUCGAGCAAUCUCACUAUUCCCCUGUGGUUGCCAAGACAGCUGAAUAAAUCAUCCAUACAUUUCAGUCCUCUUGGAGUCUACCUUUCAGUCCUGCUAUUUUCCUCCUCUUGUUACAAGCUUCAGAAAGAAGGUGGCUCUAAACUGAACUCUGACUUUGAAUUCUUUUAUACAUUAACUUAUUCAAAUGAUUGAAAGUAGAUUGUUUACAAAAAUGGAUACAAUAGAAAUGUAAAAGGUCAGCUCCAAGAAAAAAAUAGAAGAAAAAUAAAAGUGAAGGUCAAGACCAGGUGAA